ACUCAAAGGAAUUGACGGGGGCCCGCACAAGCGGUGGAGUAUGUGGUUUAAUUCGAAGCAACGCGCAGAACCUUACCUGGUCUUGACAUCCCUUGAUCGCUGCAGAGAUGUAGUUUCCACUUCGGUGGCAAGGAGACAGGUGCUGCAUGGCUGUCGUCAGCUCGUGUCGUAGGAUGUUGGGUUAAGUCCCGCAACGAGCGCAACCCCUGCUUCUAGUUGCGACCAUUAAGUUGAGCACUCUAGAGGGACUGCCGGUGUUAAACCGGAGGAAGGCGGGGACGACGUCAAGUCCUCAUGGCCCUUACGACCAGGGCUACACACGUACUACAAUGGUGGAAACAAAGCGCCGCAAAACCGCGAGGUGGAGCGAAUCGCAAAAACACCAUCACAGUCCGGAUUGGAGUCUGCAACUCGACUCCAUGAAGUUGGAAUCGCUAGUAAUCGCAGAUCAGCACGCUGCGGUGAAUACGUUCCCGGGCCUUGUACACACCGCCCGU
rnacentral:rRNA from 1 species